rnacentral:rRNA from 1 species
AGAGCGAACGCUGGCGGCAGGCUUAACACAUGCAAGUCGAGCGGGCGUAGCAAUACGUCAGCGGCAGACGGGUGAGUAACGCGUGGGAACGUACCUUUUGGUUCGGAACAACACAGGGAAACUUGUGCUAAUACCGGAUAAGCCCUUACGGGGAAAGAUUUAUCGCCGAAAGAUCGGCCCGCGUCUGAUUAGCUAGUUGGUGAGGUAACGGCUCACCAAGGCGACGAUCAGUAGCUGGUCUGAGAGGAUGAUCAGCCACAUUGGGACUGAGACACGGCCCAAACUCCUACGGGAGGCAGCAGUGGGGAAUAUUGGACAAUGGGCGCAAGCCUGAUCCAGCCAUGCCGCGUGAGUGAUGAAGGCCCUAGGGUUGUAAAGCUCUUUUGUGCGGGAAGAUAAGUGACGGUACCGCAAGAAUAAGCCCGGCUAACUUCGCGCCAGCAGCCGC